CAGCGGUGGCGAUGGGAAUCGUGAAGGUUUUGUCCUCUGGCUCUUUCCCGUGGGUCUUUCUGGCGGCCCCGCGUUUGGAUGCCCGGGUGACAGGGAGCCAGUGCCCCUCAGCCCUGUGAAAGUGGCCAUCUUGGCUGGUCAGCGUACGAUUCUUCGCACCGCCCGAUCCAUCCCCACCCUUGCAUGCUGCUGGCAGCUGGAAAUCCUGAGGAGGGACGCCUAGUUGCUAAUGACUACACUUAACAUGUUGAAUUCCUGUCAAGCUCAUCCUGUUUAAAGCUGCAUCUGCAAAAAUACUGUGCUACAUUUUACAUUUAGCAAGACAGCAUUUGGUAAGAGAUCCUCUCUUCUAUCCGAGAUCGCCUCCACUGGAAACCAUGAGGCCAGUCUGAUGGGAACCUCAUUGUUGUUCAGGGAACUG